UGUGCUCUUUCACUCUGCAGCAUCCACAGCCAAAGGCACGGCCCCCACAUGAAUCACUCUCACAGUUGUGUCAGUAAGGGCUCCUCAGCCAGCCGAUGAUAGUGAUCUAUGAAAGGAAACAACCCCUUCGCGCUGGCCCCCGGUUUCAGUGGCUCCUCGGUUCUGCCCUCCCCUACAUCGACUACCUCCUCAGCAAGCAGAGGUCUCAGAGACUGGUAAAGUGAGGACUGCGGAGGUUAAUCAGCUAACCAACACAGGUGUGCGACCAGACUGAGAUUCAGCCCGAAGCCAGGUGAUGCCAGUGUGCACGAGCCAAGCUCCUUUGCUGUGUGUACUGCUUUAUCGGGGGUCAGGUGGUGGCACCAAGGGGAGAUGGAGGCAUCCCCAAAGUCCACCCAGCUGUCAUCGCAGGUGCUGUGGGAAAACAUGGUGGCCUCCCUCGGCCCUGCAACCCUCAGACCUGUUUGCAAAGGAGCAUGGAGUCCAGCCUCGAGUCCAGUUCGGAACCACACAGGCCAAGGCCUCAGCGAGGGAAUCUGCAUAAGAGCGUGCACCCCAAAGUCACACUGCUGUGGUUCCCAUUCAAGUUCUGCCAGUGAGCCCCAGCAAGUUAGGGCACCCCUAGCCUCGGCUUCCGCACCUGUAAAAUGCGGAUCACAGUUCCUGCUUCAUUAGUAUGUUGUAAAAGUAAAGUAGUUGUGUCCAUAAAAGAGCUUCCUUA